AACAAUAAUCACUUGCCUGCUAAAAAGAAGAAGCAAAAGAAAUGCCUGGAAAAAUAUUACGUUACUUUCCGGUAAAACCAAGAUUGCAAAGGUUGUUCAUGUGCUCGAAGAUUGCAGAGCAUAUGCGAUGGCAUGCAAAGAAUAGUAAUAGAGAUGCAAUCAUGAGGCAUCCUAGAGAUGGUGAAGCUUGGAAGAGGUUUGAUACUACUUUUCUUGAAUUUGCUUUUGAUCCCCGAAAUGUUCGUUUAGGCCUAGCUAGUGAUGGUUUCAAUCCUUUUGGGAUGAUGAGUACUACUUAUAGCAUUUGGCCAGUGAUUUUGAUUCCAUAUAACCUUCCACCUUGGUUGUGUACGAAGCAACCAAAUUUGAUCCUAUCAAUGAUCAUUCCAGGUCCACGUACGGCGGGAAAUAAUAUAGAUGUAUACCUACAACCCCUUAUUAAGGAGUUGAAUGAGUUAUGGUGUGAAGGUCUGGAAACUUUUGAUUCAUCAAAGAAUGAAAUGUUUAGAAUGCGUGCUGCUCUUAUGUGCCAUAUUAUGGGAAGGUUGAAGAUAUUAUUGAACUUAAUUGUUAUGGUCGAUUCAGGGUUGUUCUCUUCAAAUGUCAAUGGGCUGGCACUACUCGGGAUAGAGGGUUCAAAAGAGAUGCUUGGAAUUUUAACUGUGUCAAUUUUUCUAGAUUGAUUCACACUGGUGAUCGUGAGGAUCAUGAUCCUUAUAUUGAAGCAUCUCAAGCAAAUAUGGUCUAUUAUGUUGAUGAUGAAACUGAUGAAGGCAGCCGACUCUAUCAGUUCAGACCACAACGCAACCUAUUCCAUCAAUUCAAACUGCGUCACAGUCAAAACCACCUAAAAAGUCUAGUGGACGUGAGUCUAUGACGCAUUGGACGGUAGAUGCAAUAGAUUCACAAGGAGCUAUCAAGAAACUCAAAGUGAAGAAAACGGAUGUGUUCAAUUUAUCUAAUGGAGAACGUAUUGUGGUUGAUUUUGACGACUUAGAUUCUCCUAUUGGCGAAGGACAAGGCAUUCUUGCAGGUUUUUGUGGAAUUUUAGCAAAAGACAGCACCAUAUUUCCAAUUCACUUUGAAAAAUGGCCGGAUUUACCUGUGGCAUACUUCAACAAUUGCUUUGAUCAAUUUAUAAAGGUAUAGGCUAUAAUGAGGUUUAAUUUCCUCUUUUCUUCUAUUUAAGCAUAACUAAUCACUAGUUAACUUGAGAGUUCUUGAAAAUGAAUCUUGUCGAUGUUUGGAGUCAUCAAAAUAAAUGUAUUGAAUACUGUGUGAGUCUAUUUCGAAGAUUUAUUUAGGAUUACUAACCUCUACGAUAAACUAGCUAAUAAGUUGAGAUUAACUUUCUGAAUUGCUUUUAAAGUUCAAGAUAAAUCUAGAAAUCAUGUUCCCUUUAAGUAGGUUUUAAGUUUUCUUUUGAAACAUAAUCUGUUAUUGGACCCUUAGCUCCUCAAGACAUUUGAGCAAAAUUUUUAUAAAGAACAGGAUCCGCUCUGUUUGUGGCAGACAAUUAGCAAGGAAAUCUGCCACACUGUUUGCCUCUCUAUAGUGGGAGAAGGUAAUCUCAGUUGUAUCAAUCAAUUUAGUAGUAUCCUCUACAGUAGACCUUAGGUAGGUUAUGAGAUGUCUUCUUCUGUAUCAUCUCUAUAACUAGCAUAGGGUCCAUUUCAACAUUGCACUUGUUGUAACUACUGUUUUUUAGCUAUUGCACUGCAAUCUGUGAAGCCAUGUCCUCUGUAAUAUUGUGAUCCUUAGAGACAACAAAUGCAAAUAAUAAGUUAUCAUCAUUGCCCCUAGUAAUACCACCAAUCCUAGCCUUCCCUAGUAAUAUCAAUGUUUUAGUGAUGACUUGUGGCCUAAGUCUCUCAACUACGUCACAUAGCUUCACCAUUUGAUGCUUCAUCUUAUGUUGAGGGAAAGCCUUGUCCAUAAAUUCCAGUAUAUCACCAUUGGAACUACUUGGAUCACCACACUCUAAAUGACAGUGAUGCUAGUUGUUUUCCAUCAGUCAUGUAAAAAAACUUUUAAUUGGCCUGCUCUAGUAUCUGAUUCUAAAAGGGUUGCUAAAAGCCUUCCUUAAGAACUGGGCUGGUUCACUGUAUAUGAAGACAUACUUGAUUGUCUCAGGUUGUGGUAAUUUGCAGCACAGAGUCCUAAGAUCUUCUAUUUUUAAACCUGCAAAUCGCAUCAUUAUAAGGCAAUUUAGUCUUCAUCAAUCUCCAAGAUAGAAAUGAGAAUUUAAAAGAGAUAUUGUUAUGCCAGACUCUUUCGAUCAAAGAGUCUGGUUUGUUGGCAUCUUUAUUAUAGAGAAUAUGAGCAAAACUAUUAUAGAGAACAGGAUCAGUUCUGUUUGUGGUAGAUAAUUAGCAAGGAAAUCAGCCAAAUUGUUUGCCUCUCUAUAGCACUAGAAGAAGGUAAUCUCAGUUGUAUUAAUCAAUUUAGUAUUAUCCUCUAUAAUAUACCUUAGGUUGAGGUUAUGAGAUGUCUUCUUCUGCAUCAUCUCUAUAACUAGCAUAGAGUCCAUUUCAAUAUUUCUCUAUAACGAAAUGUCUGCUUGCUUAUAUUGGGCAGCUCUUUCCUUACCUUCCUUAAAUUUAUGUCAUUGAACUGUAUAUUUGGAUAUAAUAGAUAAGCUAAUCAUUUCAUUUAUUCUUGAAGCCGCGAUUUUGUUUUAGGACCACCGAGCCAAAUGCAAGGCGAUAUGUAUAUCAUUCGAUGUGUAAGAAGUGGGGCGCAAGAAGGCUAAAAUUCUUUAAUGCAAUUGAUGACCCACUUAAGAGCAGAGAUCAGAUAAAAGCUGAGGCAAUUAAUAAAGUUCCAGAUGGGAUUCCACGAGAUCAAUGGAUUUCUUAUGUUAAUUACCGCCUUAAAGAAAAAACAAGGGAAAUGUGCAAAAAAAAUGCUGAAAUUCGGAAGACACAAACCAUUUCACACAUCGAUGGCUCCAAACCCAACUCUAGAAGAAGGGUUGAAAUGGUGAAAGUUGUUGCUUCAUUUUGGAUUUACUUUAAUGAAACUACAAACUGUUCCUAGUUAGUUAAGUUAUUGUGACUUUGAUUUUUCCAUUUAUAGAUGGCUCAGAGCGGACAAAAUCCUGGACGAGGUCAACUUUAUCUUGCUACUCAUAGGAAUGAAGAUGGAUCAUAUGUUAAUGAAGCAGCAAAAGAGAUA